rnacentral:rRNA from 1 species
AACAGUUGGAAACGACUGCUAAUACUCUAUACUCCUGCUUAACACAAGUUGAGUAGGGAAAGUUUUUCGGUGUAGGAUGAGACUAUAUAGUAUCAGCUAGUUGGUAAGGUAAUGGCUUACCAAGGCUAUGACGCUUAACUGGUCUGAGAGGAUGAUCAGUCACACUGGAACUGAGACACGGUCCAGACUCCUACGGGAGGCAGCAGUAGGGAAUAUUGCGCAAUGGGGGAAACCCUGACGCAGCAACGCCGCGUGGAGGAUGACACUUUUCGGAGCGUAAACUCCUUUUCUUAGGGAAGAAUUCUGACGGUACCUAAGGAAUAAGCACCGGCUAACUCCGUGCCAGCAGCCGCGGUAAUACGGAGGGUGCAAGCGUUACUCGGAAUCACUGGGCGUAAAGGGCGCGUAGGCGGAUUAUCAAGUCUCUUGUGAAAUCUAAUGGCUUAACCAUUAAACUGCUUGGGAAACUGAUAGUCUAGAGUGAGGGAGAGGCAGAUGGAAUUGGUGGUGUAGGGGUAAAAUCCGUAGAUAUCACCAAGAAUACCCAUUGCGAAGGCGAUCUGCUGGAACUCAACUGACGCUAAGGCGCGAAAGCGUGGGGAGCAAACAGGAUUAGAUACCCUGGUAGUCCACGCCCUAAACGAUGUACACUAGUUGUUGGGGUGCUAGUCAUCUCAGUAAUGCAGCUAACGCAUUAAGUGUACCGCCUGGGGAGUACGGUCGCAAGAUUAAAACUCAAAGGAAUAGACGGGGACCCGCACAAGCGGUGGAGCAUGUGGUUUAAUUCGAAGAUACGCGAAGAACCUUACCUGGGCUUGAUAUCCUAAGAACCUUAUAGAGAUAUGAGGGUGCUAGCUUGCUAGAACUUAGAGACAGGUGCUGCACGGCUGUCGUCAGCUCGUGUCGUGAGAUGUUGGGUUAAGUCCCGCAACGAGCGCAACCCACGUAUUUAGUUGCUAACGGUUCGGCCGAGCACUCUAAAUAGACUGCCUUCGUAAGGAGGAGGAAGGUGUGGACGACGUCAAGUCAUCAUGGCCCUUAUGCCCAGGGCGACACACGUGCUACAAUGGCAUAUACAAUGAGACGCAAUACCGCGAGGUGGAGCAAAUCUAUAAAAUAUGUCCCAGUUCGGAUUGUUCUCUGCAACUCGAGAGCAUGAAGCCGGAAUCGCUAGUAAUCGUAGAUCAGCCAUGCUACGGUGAAUACGUUCCCGGGUCUUGUACUCACCGCCCGUCACACCAUGGGAGUUGAUUUCACUCGAAGCCGGAAUACUAAACUAGUUACCGUCCACAGUGGAAUCAGCGACUGGGGUGAAGUCGUAACAAGGUAACCGUAGGAGAACCUGCGGUUGGAUCACCUCCUUU